GAUGAACGCUGGCGGCGUGCCUAAUACAUGCAAGUCGAGCGAACAGAUGAGGAGCUUGCUCCUCUGACGUUAGCGGCGGACGGGUGAGUAACACGUGGAUAACCUACCUAUAAGACUGGGAUAACUUCGGGAAACCGGAGCUAAUACCGGAUAAUAUAUUGAACCGCAUGGUUCAAUAGUGAAAGACGGUUUUGCUGUCACUUAUAGAUGGAUCCGCGCCGCAUUAGCUAGUUGGUAAGGUAACGGCUUACCAAGGCGACGAUGCGUAGCCGACCUGAGAGGGUGAUCGGCCACACGGGAACUGAGACACGGACCAGACUCCUACGGGAGGCAGCAGUAGGGAAUCUUCCGCAAUGGGCGAAAGCCUGACGGAGCAACGCCGCGUGAGUGAUGAAGGUCUUCGGAUCGUAAAACUCUGUUAUUAGGGAAGAACAAAUGUGUAAGUAACUAUGCACGUCUUGACGGUACCUAAUCAGAAAGCCACGGCUAACUACGUG
rnacentral:rRNA from 1 species